GAAAAUAAAAGGAACGACCUGGAAACUUCUCUGCCUCUUUAGGACCCCAUACCUCUUUGGAUCCAUCCGCGCAAUAUCAGUGCUCAAUAAAUAGUGGGUGGACGAUUGAUGCGGCAGUGUAGCGAGCAGCCAGCGGGAAGUUAAAUGGAUUUCUGACGGCCCAGAUCACAGCCUCUCAGAGUUGGAAGGAACUGGCUGUCUAGGGGACCUCUCCUGCUGAUGUGUGAGUUCUUUCAACAAGUCCUCUCAUCUGCAUUUGUAUGCCUCUCAUGACAGGACGCUCACUGCCACACAGGCCAGCCCGUCUUACUGCCCAGGAGCUCAAAGGGGAGACAGGGCUUCCUUAGGUUUAGUCAAGAGCAUUGCCUCGUAAAUCCCCUAGUGGGUCCUGAUUUGGGGCCUGCAGAAUCACGCAAAAUAAACCCACUUCCUCCUCAGGCUGCACUCCCUGCCUUUACUUAUGGAAAGGAUCACCAUCCUCCAUCUGGUGAUGCCUUGCUUUUUUCUUCACUCAUGAAUGUUUUUCUUUGUUUUAUGUGCUUAUUUACUCCACAAAGACGUAUUAAGCACCUCCUUUGUGCCAGCGACUGUGUGGGGUGCUGGGGUUACAAUGGUGAGUGAGGUAACCAUGAUUCCAGCUCUCAGGAAACCUAAUGACCAAAUGGGGAAGAUAGGUGACAGUGAUGGUGAUGACGAUGGCAAUGGUCAUGAUGGAGAUGAUGGUGAUGGUGAUGAUGGAGGUGAUGGUGAUAAUGGAGGUGAUGGUGAUGGUGAUGACAGAGGUGAUGGUGGUAAUGGAGGUGGUGGCAAUGGUGAUGAUGGAGGUGAUGGAGGUGAUGGUGAUAAUGGAGGUGAUGGUGAUGAUGGAGGUGAUGGCGAUGGUGAUGAUGGAGGUGAU
rnacentral:lncRNA from 1 species